CUUCCACACCCUUCAGUCCAGCCGAGCGCGAGGGCGGCCACUAGCACUAGUCGAGUACGCUAGCCCUGCUACCCUGCCGCCGUCCGGCGAGGCGGCGACGAUUCCGGCGACCGCGCGGCGCGCGGCACGUGAUCUCACCUUUUACGACCCCCCGGGGCGAGCUGGCCUCUCCUGGCAAGUUCUACAUCAACAGGAUGGAGGAGCAAGAGGGUUCUGUAUGAGGAGGACAUUAGCAAAGAAUUCGUCUAUUAUGGGGGCUAAACACAGCUGGGCAUGGUUUAAACCGUGCUGAACUUUUGAUCCAGCUAUCGGCCAUGGCUGGAAAUUGUGGUGAAAUUCCAUCCUCACUUAUCGAUGUGUUAGAUAUUUGACCUGAAGACUAGAUAUUUACCGUCACCAGUUUGCUUUUGAUGUUUUGUAAUGGCCCUAGUGUGGUGAACUACUCUUUUAGUUGUGCUGUUUUUUUUAUACUCCAUUAAUCUAAAAUCUAUGUUGUUGUAAACGGGUGGUAGCGAUGUAAUGUUUAUAUAUGGAGGCUCAGUUUCGUAUAUUUUGAACUGUCAAUUAUGCACUGAAUCGACUCCUUCAGCAAUGUGGUAUUUGACUAGACUA